rnacentral:sRNA from 1 species
GAGAACAGUGUUUUCUUCCGGAAAAGAAACGGGGGCUGUGACAGGCUCCCUGUGGUGAAGCCGACUAAAAGGUCGAGGUGGUGCAUCUAUCUAUGGCAAACAGUUUGAAGAUGAACUUCAUCCAGACUUGAAAUUCACGGGGGCUGGAAUUCUCGCAAUGGCCAAUGCGGGGCCAGAUACCAAUGGCAGCCAGUUCUUUGUGACCCUCGCCCCCACCCAGUGGCUUGACGGCAAACACACCAUUUUUGGCCGAGUGUGUCAGGGCAUAGGAAUGGUGAAUCGCGUGGGAAUGGUAGAAACAAACUCCCAGGACCGCCCUGUGGACGACGUGAAGAUCAUUAAGGCAUACCCUUCUGGGUAGACUUGCUACCCUCUUGAGCAGCUCUUCUGAGAUGGCCCCAGUGAACCAGCUUCUAGAUGACAUAGAAUGACAUGUAAUGCUAAAUUUCAUUUUGGCUUUGCAAAUCAUGAAGCUUAGGAGGCCUGGCGUCUUGGGUGAGUUAGAGAUGGAAGUACAUUUUAAUAGGAUGCUUCUUUUCUCUUCCCCCAGUGCCUAGGUUGCCAGAGCAUUUGCACAAAUGCCCCUGUUUAUCAAUAGGUGACUACUUACUACACAUGAACCAUAAUGCUGCUUCUUGUGCAUGUCUGCUCUGAUAUACAUCGAACAAUGUAGCAGACACUGUCAUUUCUCAGUGGUUUUGCCUAACCAAACUUCUUCCUAAGGAGAUUUAUAUUCUGGCCUACACAGCAGUCCUUGAUGGCUGACAGCCACAGAAUUCCAAACCAAGUAGUGUCUGUCAGCCCUCUUAACUCUGUGCACGCCCUAUUUCAGUCUUUUACAUUUGUUCUUCUAGGGAAUGUAUGCAUCUCUAUAUAUAUUUGCCCUCUCAAAACCAGAACAUCAACAGUGCUGUUUCUGACACUUCAGACAUCCCACACAAAGCCACAUUGAAUUUUUGCCAAAUGAAAAACACAUCCAACAAUCAAGUUUCUUAAGAAGGUGUCAAGUGGGGAAUAAUAAUAAUGUAUAAUAAUCAAGAAAUUAGUUUAUUAAAAGGAAGCAGAAGCAUUGACCAUUUUUUCCCAGAGAAGAGGAGAAAUCUGUAGUGAGCAAAGGACAGACCAUGAAUCCUCCUUGAGAAGUAGUACUCUCAGAAAGGAGAAGCGCCACUCAAGUUCUUUUAACCCAAGACUUUAGAGAAAUUAGGUCCAAGAUUUUUAUAUGUUCAGUUGUUUAUGUAUAAAAAUAACUUUCUGGAUUUUGUGGGGAGGAGCAGGAGAGGAAGGAAGUUAAUACCUAUGUAAUACAUAGAAUCUUCCAAAAUAAAAUGCCAUCGAUGGUUGAGAUC